GUUUGAUCCUGGCUCAGGAUGAACGCUGGCGGCGUGCCUAAUACAUGCAAGUCGAGCGAAUGGAUUAAGAGCUUGCUCUUAUGAAGUUAGCGGCGGACGGGUGAGUAACACGUGGGUAACCUGCCCAUAAGACUGGGAUAACUCCGGGAAACCGGGGCUAAUACCGGAUAA
rnacentral:rRNA from 1 species